rnacentral:rRNA from 1 species
GUGCCAGCAGCCGCGGUAAUACGGAGGGUGCAAGCGUUAUCCGGAUUCACUGGGUUUAAAGGGUGCGUAGGUGGGCAAGUAAGUCAGUGGUGAAAUCUCCGGGCUUAACCCGGAAACUGCCAUUGAUACUAUUUGUCUUGAAUACUGUGGAGGUCAGCGGAAUAUGUCAUGUAGCGGUGAAAUGCUUAGAUAUGACAUAGAACACCAAUUGCGAAGGCAGCUGGCUACACAAAUAUUGACACUGAGGCACGAAAGCGUGGGGAUCAAACAGGAUUAGAUACCCCGGUAGUCC